rnacentral:rRNA from 1 species
GACGCUGGCGGCGUGCCUAAUACAUGCAAGUCGAGCGGACUUUAAAAGCUUGCUUUUAAAGUUAGCGGCGGACGGGUGAGUAACACGUGGGCAACCUGCCUGUAAGACUGGGAUAACUUCGGGAAACCGGAGCUAAUACCGGAUAAUUCUUUUCCUCUCAUGGGGGAAAGCUGAAAGACGGCAUCUCGCUGUCACUUACAGAUGGGCCCGCGGCGCAUUAGCUAGUUGGUGAGGUAACGGCUCACCAAGGCAACGAUGCGUAGCCGACCUGAGAGGGUGAUCG